UACGAAGGGGGCUAGCGUUGCUCGGAAUCACUGGGCGUAAAGCGCACGUAGGCGGAUUGCUAAGUCAGAGGUGAAAGCCCAGGGCUCAACCUUGGAACUGCCUUUGAUACUGGGGAUCUCGAGUCCGGAAGAGGUUGGUGGAACUGCGAGUGUAGAGGUGAAAUUCGUAGAUAUUCGCAAGAACACCAGUGGCGAAGGCGGCCAACUGGUCCGGUACUGACGCUGAGGUGCGAAAGCGUGGGGAGCAAACAGG
rnacentral:rRNA from 1 species